AUCAAACAGGAUUAGAUACCCUGGUAGUCCACACAGUAAACGAUGAAUACUCGCUGUUUGCGAUAUACAGUAAGCGGCCAAGCGAAAGCAUUAAGUAUUCCACCUGGGGAGUACGCCGGCAACGGUGAAACUCAAAGGAAUUGACGGGGGCCCGCACAAGCGGAGGAACAUGUGGUUUAAUUCGAUGAUACGCGAGGAACCUUACCCGGGCUUAAAUUGCAUUUGAAUAAUCUGGAAACAGGUUAGCCGCAAGGCAAAUGUGAAGGUGCUGCAUGGUUGUCGUCAGCUCGUGCCGUGAGGUGUCGGCUUAAGUGCCAUAACGAGCGCAACCCUUAUCUUUAGUUACUAACAGGUCAUGCUGAGGACUCUAGAGAGACUGCCGUCGUAAGAUGUGAGGAAGGUGGGGAUGACGUCAAAUCAGCACGGCCCUUACGUCCGGGGCUACACACGUGUUACAAUGGGGGGUACAGAAGGCAGCUACCUGGCGACAGGAUGCUAAUCCCAAAAACCUCUCUCAGUUCGGAUCGAAGUCUGCAACCCGACUUCGUGAAGCUGGAUUCGCUAGUAAUCGCGCAUCAGCCAUGGCGCGGUGAAUACGUUCCCGGGCCUUGUACACACCGCCCGUCAAGCCAUGAAAGCCGGGGGUACCUGAAGUACGUAACCGCAAGGAGCGUCCUAGGGUAAAACUGGUAAUUGGGGCUAAGUCGUAACAAGGUAGCCGUACCGGAAGGUGCGGCUGGAACACC
rnacentral:rRNA from 1 species